rnacentral:rRNA from 1 species
GACGUUACCCGCUGAAUUUAAGCAUAUAAGUAAGCGGAGGAUAAGAAACUAAAUAGGAUUCCCUCAGUAAUGGCGAAUGAACAGGGAUAAGCUCAGCAUGGAAAUUGGGGCCCUCGGCCUUGAAUUGUAGUCUUGAGAUGUGUUACCAACGGAGGCGCAGAUGUAAGCCUCUUGGAAAAGAGCGUCAGGGAGGGUGAGAGUCCCGUAUGUCAUCUGCAGUUCUCUGUGCACGGUGCAUGUUCUAAGAGUCACGUUCCUCGGGAUUGGAGCGCAAAUUGGGUGGUAAAUUUCAUCUAAAGCUAAAUAUUGGUUCGAGACCGAUAGCAAACAAGUACCAUGAGGGAAAGGUGAAAAGGACUUUGAAAAGAGAGUUAAAAGUGCCUGAAAUUGCUGAAAGGGAAGCGAAUGGAACCAGUUGUUCUUGGUGAGUAUUGGUGUUGUCUAAAGUGAUGGCUUGCCACUUCAACGCAAGUGUGGUGGCAGGUUUUGAUCUGGAUGCGAUACUGCUUCUCGCCUUGCAUGUCAACGUCAGUUCAUAAUUGAGGAAAACUCUAAGGACAUGGUAAUUCGCUUCCGAGUGACUGAAUGUCCUCAGUUGAACUCAUUUUUGAACUGCUCUCUGUGUGUCUGGUAGCACUGCUUCAUGUGCUUGCCUGCGAUCUUCUGCUCUGCAUGAAGGUUGUUGGUGCCAGGAGCAUGUCCUUGACAUUAGAACGAUGACGAAAUGGUUUUAUUCGACCCGUCUUGAAACACGGA